UACGAAAUGAAUGAAACAGUGAAUCAAUGCAAAUGUGAAUGAUCAAGAUAGAAGGUACAUUUUUUCUUGAAUGUAGAGAAAAAUGUGGGGAAGGUGUAUUUGCUAAAAAGUGGAUGAGUGAGUUUCAGAGCUUUCGUUCGUUGAACGAAGCAAGCCAAAAAAAAUAAAAAAAAGACUCCAAAGAAAAUACGAGGGGAAUGCAAGCAUUUAAAGGAAUAAAUACUUGCGAAUGCGGAAAUCGACUUAUUCUCGGUAUAAACAGACGACGGCACUAAUGGGGUUCCCCUGAAAAUAAGAAGGUUAAAGACCACAAUAUACCAUCGGCUUGGCAGUCAACAAAACAUCCUUGAAAUUUUCAAACUUGAAAACUAAUAAAAGAGGAAAUUAAUUAGAAUCGUAUAGAUUAGGAUAAGCUGAUAAAAU